UGGGGAAUCUUGGACAAUGGGGGCAACCCUGAUCCAGCCAUGCCGCGUGAGUGAAGAAGGCCCUAGGGUCGUAAAACUCUUUCGCCUGUGAUGAUAAUGACAGUAGCAGGUAAAGAAACCCCGGCUAACUCCGUGCCAGCAGCCGCGGUAAUACGGAGGGGGUUAGCGUUGUUCGGAAUUACUGGGCGUAAAGCGCACGUAGGCGGAUUAGAAAGUUAGAGGUGAAAUCCCGGGGCUCAACCCCGGAACUGCCUUUAAAACUACUAGUCUAGAGUUCGAGAGAGGUGAGUGGAAUUCCGAGUGUAGAGGUGAAAUUCGUAGAUAUUCGGAGGAACACCAGUGGCGAAGGCGGCUCACUGGCUCGAUACUGACGCUGAGGUGCGAAAGUGUGGGGAGCAAACAGG
rnacentral:rRNA from 1 species